rnacentral:rRNA from 1 species
AUGCACACAUUGGUGCUCGUAGUGGUCUCGGGGAAGCCGGGGAAGCAAGAGGUCGAGCGGAUCAACGAAAUCGGCGACGACGACCGUGGUGACGAAGACAGGUCGAUGGCGAGGCUCAGAACUCCGCAGUACAGCUCCUUCUACUCAGGUGUUGAGGACGCUGGUGCCCACCUCCUGGUCUUCUCGUUGCGGCUCAUGGUGGACGUCGACCACGACAACGAUGGCGGCGCGAUGACGGUUGCGCCCAGGCAUGGACGAAAUUAA